CCAGUCAGUGGUAAGGCUGCAUUGGUCUUUCGCUCUGCACAACAAAGGGCAAACUGCCUGCCUGCAACACGGACUCCAGUUUACUUCUUGUCGAGCAAAGCUGAAAAGACUCGCUCAGCCCAGCCAGGAGACGCCAUUUGUCGUGGAAAUUAGACAACACACGCAGACUUUUCCUGUGAAGGACUCUCUGGCUGAAGCUGAGCAGGCGAUGGAGACCAACAAUCAGCUGGAGAAUAUGGAGACCAACACUCAGGUAGGAGAUAUUAAUUUAAAUAACUCCUACCUGAUGUCCAAAGUGAACACACUGGAAGACUGUGUGCAGCUGUUGGACGAAGAGCUUGCUCAGACCCGGAUGAGGUGUAAUGAGAUAAUGAUGGAGCUGGAGCAAGAGCAGGAGGCUCACAGAAUCCUGGAGUCCCACUGCGAAGAGAUGAAGACAACUUUAAAAACGUGUGACGAGUUACUCAAGGUGUGCGAGGGAGAGGUGAAGGAUCACAGUAUCCUAAAGGUAUCUCUGGCAGAGGUUGAGAGGAAAUACAAGCAGGCAAUGGAGUCCAAUGCUCAUCUGGAGAAUGAGACCUUUGACCUGAUGUCCAAGAUGGGCAUACUGCAAAACUCCAUGCAGGAAAUGACAAAUAAGUGUGCUGAGGCAACAAAGAAUUACGAGAAAACAAAGCGUAUUCUUGAGUACGUGUUGGCCACUGCCAAUGAGCGGGAGAAAACUUUAAAUCUGGAAAUAGACUUACUUCAGGCUUCUCUGGCUGAAGCUGAGAGGCAUUAUGAAUUUUUGGUAACAGACUACUAUGAGUCAGUUGACACACAGAAUAACUUGAGAGCUGAGCUGAGCACUCUGCACGGAAAAGUGGGUGAUCUGCAGGGAGCGCUCAGAACAGUAACAAGGGAGUGUGAGCAAUUGAGAAGCAUGAGGGACAAAUUGAGUUUAAUGAGUACAACUAUACUAAAAGACCAUGAGUUAGAACUUCAAGCACACGGUACACUGAAGGAACAGCACGUUGAGUUACUAACGGAGCGUAAACGAGAGCAGGCCUGUCUGGCUGAAGCGGAGAGGAAAUACAAAGAAGUCAUGGAGUCCAAUGCUCAGUUGGAGAAAGAGAAGUCUGACCUGCAGUCCCAGGUGAACACGCUGCAAGGCUCAGUGCAGCAGCUGAAGGAAGAGCACUCUGAGACACGCAUGAAGUGUGAUGAAAUGCCGGUCUCUCUGGCUGCAGCUGACAAGCUGCAGGAGGAAGCGAUGCAGUCCAAGGCUAAGAUGAAGAAUGAAAUAUUGGACCUGAAGUACCAUUUGCACACACUGCGAGACUCAGUGCGGGAGCUGGAGAUAAUGCUCUCUGAUGGAGAGAUGCACUGCGACGCUAUAAAGCAGGAGUCAGAACAAGAGCGGGAGGCUUACCGUAUCCUGAAGAUGCAAUACAAAAAGAUGAAGGAAACUAUUCAGAGGUUCAGAGAGCUACUAAUGAUCUAUCACACAAAGCUUGGAUUCGAGGAGCCUCAGGGUCAAAGAUAAGUCCCGGAAUGCACGGCAAACUGUGUAGAGCCAUUCUGCAUGCUUCAUGCUGUCAGGGCUUGGACUCCACUCAGGUCAGCAGCGUGAGAAUCAGAUGCUCCAUCAGUGGGCCAUUGGAGAGGGGAUGAGCCCAAGUGCAGAGAUGAACUCAAAACGGGGUAAAAGUUGGGGUAAAAAACAAAAAACAAGAAACAAAUGUUAUCCACACAGUUCAGUCGGUAAAUCCAAAGAAUAAAUAAUCCAACAUAAAAUUCACAACACAAAAUUAUCCUCAAAGCAGUAAUCCAACAAAAAGAUUAUUAGGAGAGAAAAAUAAAAUCACAAAAACAGAAAAAACUUUCCUGAGACACGUAGGGUUGGCCUACAGUAGCAACACUGAACACCAACUAUGGAACAGGGAAACUUAAAAUAGACAAGGGAAUUUAAAAUUGUAAUCUGAUUGCAAUACUGAUUACUGCAGGUAAAAAGUAAUCUGAAUACAGUUAUGCGUUACACCCAACUCUGAUGAGACACAGGUGACAGCAAUAAUACUGAUCACAGACGGCAGGAAAAAAACACAAAAAAAACAACAGCAAGUCCAACGUCCUGACACAUGAAGUGCGCACCGUGCCAUUGCCUGACAUAGUAGCCGAGGAUCUUAUAUUAUUCAGUGGGAGGACAAACGAGGGAAGCGCACACUCUAGCUCUGUAGUGCUGACAGCACAGAGCAUGGGCUUGACUGAGCAAACAACAAGAUAGCAAACAACAGCCUAUAUAUUAUGUACAUUGCUAACAGCUAAGCUAGCAGUAACAAUCCUAGCUAGUAAUGGGUGUCACGUAAUAUGACUUUGUGGUGAAGAUCUAGGCAUAAGCACACACGAGAAUUUCCAGGUGUUAAUCCCUGUCCCUGGUAGUGAAGGAGGAGGCGAAACAGAAUGACAGCUAACAUGCAGAUGCUGAAGAAUGAUGAAGAAUGGAUGCAAUAAACAAUAAAUAAAGAUGGUGAAAAAACGUAUUCGUUAUUAAUGUAAUCAAAUCAUCUUUGAAUGUAUUAUAUUUAUCUUAAUCUACAAACUGAUGACGAUUAGUAAUAAGACCUGAACCAGGAAGGAGCCAUUCCCUUACCUUGGACAACAUUUUGUAGUCUAUCUUGAUAGAAUAUCGUGAUCUACGGUAUCAAAUCUGCGUUAAGGUCGGGCAACACAUGCAAGGAGACCACCCUGAUUAGAAGUCUUUAGUGAGUCAUUUACCACUUUAACCAGCGCUGUCUCAGUACCGUGAUGAGGGCUAAAUCCUAACAACGUGAUUCCUACGUGAUACAACCUCAGUUUUCAGAAAGUAACAUGAAGAAGUCAGGCAAACGGAAAACAAUAUGAAAAGCCUUUGUUAAAAUUGAUUUUAAUAUAUGAUUUUAUUCAAAUGAGCCCACUUGAAAUACAGAGUCCUCGGUUUAGACCAAGACUGUAUUUAGGGAGACCACUGCCCGAGACCAAGACAAGUCCGAGUACAAAUGCCAAUACGGAAAACGUUUCGAAACCAGUCCCAUGUCUAAGCAUUGGGGAUUGGCCCCAUUUUGAUUCUUUAGCUAGCUAUACAGUAAUCAGGCUGCAUUUCAAAUUGUUCCAUAGCCCCCUGCAUAGUACGGAAGCCCUAAGCGGCCAUGCAUUAUUCCUUUUUUUCCCUGUUGUUUUCUCGUGAUCUCGACUUAAUUUUCCUGUGCACUUGACAUCCUUCAUUUCGAAGUCAGUUGGGCUUUGAAUGGGUUUUUUGGUUAAAUGCCUGAAAUAAGUAUACAAGUGGUUGUUUAUGCCUCCCAGAAUGCGUCAUGGUCGAAUACCUGUCCCUUCCUUUCGUUGCUAUGGACUACAGAGGUAUGUGUUUUUAGCUUUGAUGCUUAGCUGUUUGAUGCUAGCGUUGUCUACUUACCAUGCAAUUUACUUGUUUAGCGUAACCUUAAGCUACCGAGACUGCAGGUGUGGUGUGCCGUCAAGGCUCCCAUCUUUGUAGCACGGUAGUUUAACGUAGCUCCAGUCGGAGCGCCAGCUGUUGCCGUCACAACUAUUAAAGAAGCUAUCAAGAUUUUCGUAUGUGCCAUCGGAUCACGGUAGGUAAAUUGUUUAGUUCUAUUACUUGAGCUAAAUGAGUUUGCAUGCUUUCCAAAUUGAGGUUGUAACACCCGUUUGUUCUUAGGGUCCCCGAUUUUGCAUGCAUUUAGGCGGGCUGAGUGAGAUGUGGUCAUUGCAGUAUAGCUCGUCCCCCUCACUCGUGGAGCCAUGUUGCUGCUUGAUUCUGUUUGGUUUUGCUGCUUCAGUUUGUUUUGCUUUUACUUAUGUUUGUUAUUGUCACUAAGAUCAGUUUUAUUGAACUCAAUUGUUGUAACAGUCUUUAUCAAUUCUGCUGGUUUUGGUCAGUCUUGGUAAACUUGCUACCUGUAAUCAGUUUGAGCUCGGGGUUAUGUCUGUGUUUAUGUGACAAUAAGUUUGUCUUUGUUUUGUUUUAUUCUUUUGUUUGUCUGCUCUGAGCAUAUUGUAAUUGACUGUGUUUUUUUUUCUCCUCCUUGUAGGAGCUGAGUGCUUCCUGAGGCUGGGGGGUUCUUUGCUGCACCUUAGGCUUUGCUUUAUUAAGGGUCGUUAUUACUGCUGUAUUUAUUUGCAGUGAAUUUUUGUGGGUAUGAUUCUGAUUAGUGGGGUUCUUUUCCCGUUUGUACAGCUGGUGCUAUCGUACUAGCCUGCCCUUCAGGAAGCCUCAGCUCUCCUAUGAUUAUUGUUAAUUUCUUCUUGUGACUGUUUUAUUUGACCAAUGCCUGAUUGUGUUGGUUGCUGUUUUUUUAUUUAUUUUAUUUUUUAUAAUUCUUGGCCAGUCUUUUUAACUUCAAAAUAAAAUGUAUUUUUGUAUGGAAACC
ensembl:lncRNA